UGUAUUAUAAAAUAUGGUUGAAUUGUCUUCCUUUUUAAGAUAAAGAUAAAUUAAGAUGAAUUUCAUUAAUUUUUCUCUGUAUGUUUAUUUUGAUGAAAAUUUUUUUAAGUUGAAAAAAAUUUUUAGUUUGAACUUUAGAAAAAAUAAAUCUUUGGUAAGUAUUUAGUGUUAUAUAGUUUAGUAUUGAAUUAAGCGUUGUUAAUAGUAGAUCAUAAUUUUAAAUUUUGAAGUGAAAGGCUUUUAUAUUGCUAGAUGUGUAUUUUAAAUCUAAUAUAACGGCAAUUGGUUAUUUUGAAAUUGAGAUUAUAUUCUAAAUAUUACUUAAUAUUUAACAAAUGUUUUAUUUUUAUGAUGAACUGACUUAAAGGAAUACCGAAGUGAUUAUAA
rnacentral:misc_RNA from 1 species